GUAGGGAAUAUUGCGCAAUGGGGGAAACCCUGACGCAGCGACGCCGCGUGAGUGAUGAAGGCCUUCGGGUCGUAAAGCUCUGUUGCUGGGGAAUAAAAAAAUGAAGGUACCCUGUGAGGAAGGAUCGGCUAACUUCGCGCCAGCAGCCGCGGUAAGACGAGGGAUCCUAGCGUUGCUCGGAAUCAUUGGGCGUAAAGAGGGCGUAGGUGGAUUGGUAAGUCAGGUGUGAAAGCCCAGGGCUCAACCCUGGAAGUGCAUUUGAUACUGCGGAGCUUGAGUGUCGGAGAGGUUACCGGAAUACCUGGUGUAGUGGUGAAAUACGUAGAUAUCAGGUGGAACACCGGAGGCGAAGGCGGGUAACUGGACGAACACUGACACUGAGGCCCGAAAGCGUGGGGAUCAAACAGGAUUAGAAACCCGAGUAGUCC
rnacentral:rRNA from 1 species